AGAGUUUGAUCCUGGCUUAGGAUGAACGCUGGCGGCGUGCUUAACACAUGCAAGUCGAACGAGGUUAAUGCUUUCGGGUGUUGACCGAGUGGCGGACGGGUGAGUAACGCGUGAACAAUCUGUCCUGCAAAGGGGGAUAACAACUGGAAACAGUUGCUAAUACCGCAUAAGACCACGGUAUCGCAUGGUACAGAGGUAAAAGCAGCAAUGCGAUGCAGGGUGAGUUCGCGUCUGAUUAGGCAGUUGGCGGGGUAACGGCCCACCAAACCGACGAUCAGUAGCCGACCUGAGAGGGUGAUCGGCCACAUUGGGACUGAGACACGGCCCAGACUCCUACGGGAGGCAGCAGUGGGGAAUAUUGGGCAAUGGGCGCCAAGCCUGACCCAGCAACGCCGCGUGAGGGAAGAAGGUUUUCGGAUUGUAAACCUCUGUCCUAAAGGACGAAGGAAGUGACGGUACUUUAGGAGGAAGCCCCGGCUAACUACGUGCCAGCCGCAGC
rnacentral:rRNA from 1 species